UCAGCCCCGUGCAGGGGUAAUUGGAAAAGUGGGGGAACCUUGAGGACAGAAGAGGAGAGUGGAAUUCCACGUGUAGCGGUGAAAUGCGUAGAUAUGUGGAGGAACACCAGUGGCGAAGGCGACUCUCUGGUCUGUUUCUGACGUUGAGGUGCGAAAGCGUGGGUAGCAAACAGGAUUAGAUACCCUGGUAGUCCACUCCGUAAACGAUGAGAGCUAGGUGUUAGGGGGCUUCCACCCCUUAGUGCUGAAGUUAACGCAUUAAGCACUCCGCCUGGGGAGUACGGCCGCAAGGCUGAAACUCAAAGGAAUUGACGGGGGCCCGCACAAGCGGUGGAGCAUGUGGUUUAAUUCGAAGCAACGCGAAGAACCUUACCAGGUCUUGACAUCCUUGGACAAUCCUAGAGAUAGGACUUUCCCUUCGGGGACCAAGUGACAGGUGGGGCAUGGUAGUCGUCAGCUCGUGUCGUGAGAUGUUGGGUUAAGUCCCGCAACGAGCGCAAUCCCUAAUCUUAGUUGCCAGCAUUCAGUUGGGCACUCUAAGGUCUCUGCCGGUGACAAACCGGAGGAAGGCGGGGAUGACGUCAAAUCAUCACUUCCACCUUAUGACCUGGGCUACACACGUGAUACAAUGGAUGGUACAAAGGGCAGCGAAUUCAGGCCUAACACAUGCAAGUCAAAAGCCGUCUCAGUUCAGAUUGUACUCCUGUAACUUCGAGUACAUGAAGGUGGAAUCGCUAGAAUCGUGAUAUAGCACAGAAAUCCCCUUACUCUCUGGGGAGAAUAAUUAUUCUUUAUUUUUUCUCCCUCCCG
rnacentral:rRNA from 1 species